rnacentral:lncRNA from 1 species
UGGUAGUAGAUGAGGAUGCUUGUACGUCAUGAUACAGUCAAGAGCUAUUCUCUGCACAUUCUGGUCUUGAUGGGACAGUAACUGGGUAUACAAAGCAUUUAACUUCUGCUCCAGAUACAGUGCACGAGGAUUGGAGAACUUAGAGAAAACUUGUAAGUGAGCUAUUAGUUGCUUAGCAGCAGCUCUUCUUGUUUUCUUUUUUGGAAGCCCUACAGUAAUUGGUUCUCCCUCUUCCCUUUCUUCCUC